rnacentral:ncRNA from 1 species
CUGAUAGAGGCGCGGCUGACAGGAGUAGGCUCACAGACCGGACAGGAAACCGGAGCCGAAAGGGGAUGCCGCCGAGGCAGUACAGGGCGUCCUGGUCCUGUGCAUGCCGGGCCGGCGGAGAAUAUCCGGCGGACUGUCGCAGUUACUGCGGAGCGCUGUCA